UACGUAGGGGCCUAGCGUUGUCCGGAUUUAUUGGGCGUAAAGAGCUCGUAGGCGGUUCGGUAAGUCAGGUGUGAAAUCUCCACGCUCAACGUGGAGGCGCCACCUGAAACUGCCGUGACUAGAGUCCGGUAGGGGAGUGUGGAAUUCCCGGUGUAGCGGUGAAAUGCGCAGAUAUCGGGAAGAACACCCGUGGCGAAGGCGGCUCUCUGGGACGGUACUGACGCUGAGACGCGAAAGCGUGGGGAGCGAACAGG
rnacentral:rRNA from 1 species